UACAGAGGGUGCGAGCGUUAAUCGGAAUUACUGGGCGUAAAGCGUGCGUAGACGGUUACGUAAGUCAGAUGUGAAAGCCCCGGGCUCAACCUGGGAAUUGCAUUUGAGACUGCGUAGCUAGGGUGCGGAAGAGGGAAGCGGAAUUUCCGGUGUAGCGGUGAAAUGCGUAGAUAUCGGAAGGAACAUCAGUGGCGAAGGCGGACUUCCUGGACUGAUACUGACACUGGAGGUGACGAA
rnacentral:rRNA from 1 species